rnacentral:lncRNA from 1 species
GGGGGGGGGGGGGUGAAAGGAAAGAAAGGACAGUGUGGAUAAAAGGUUUUGAAAUAGCUGUGUGUUUAGCUGUUUAAGUCAUAAAAAUCCCAAGAUUUGUGUCUCCCAAACGCAGCUCUAUUUCAAGAGAAUGGUUGAAAAUACUGAUGUAUCAAAUAAUAUUAAGAGAACUGUAAGUAUCCUAUACAAAAAAUAAUCUACAUUUAAGGGGAAGGGGAAUAAAAAUAACUUUGCUUCCUGAUUAACUAAAGAAAUGAGAACUCAGGAAUUUAAAAAAAAAAAAAAGAAGAGUAGAAAGACCUCAGAAAUCCUUUUAAGUUUUGCGUGAAGUUACCAUGAUGCAAUACAGCUCUUAAAAGAAUCUCAGUGUUUGCUCUUUUUUCUAAAAUGAGGUAAAGCAUAUAGAAAUUUCACUAUUCACAAGAAAUCAUCAUCAGAAAACUGAUAGUGAGGGACUCUUGUUUUUUGUGUGUUUAACUGAUUUCCACUUAAUCAUGAGCAAGCAAUCCUGAGGCAGAUACCAUAACUGUGUGCUCUUCUCUGGACUUUGUCAUCAAACUGAGAGUGUGGCCAUUAUGUGCAUCUAUUUGAAAAUAAGAGUGUGUUGCUGCUAGGCACUGCAUGCUGUCAUAAGGUCCAGCCAUCAUUAUUUGAAAAUUUACAUUUCAUGUUUUCACUUAACAGGUCAGGAUAGUGGCGAUAAUAGUUCCAAAGCAAAAGCAGGCCAAGAAAUGCAUUCAGAAACUAGUUCUUCACCAAAUGAAAGAAGUCCUCCCUUCUCAAGGACUGAAACCAGGAAGGGAAUGGUAGCUGCUAUAAAAUCCAAAGCUUUCUGGGGCGAAUCUGAAGACAGCAGCUCCGAGAUUGAGGCUGCUUUGCGCCCACAAACUCACAGCACAGAAGCAGACGAAUUUGAUGACUUCUAUGAUUAAGAUUCCCCUGCUCGCUUUUGGGAAGAAAUAAGCAAUAUCGUCUUGUGCAUAUUGAGAGUGCCACUGUUUAAAGUGCAGCUU